UUUUAAAAUACAGAGCCAUCUGUGGUAAGACAUUGAUUGAUUACUAUCAGCCUUAAGGUUAUUUUUUCAGGGCAAAGUAAAUAAUCUACAGAAGGUAGCAAUGUACAGUAGUUAAACAAUGUAUAUAGCAUGUAGUGUUUUCGGAAUGAAAUCCUUCAGAUGCUCUAAACAGCUAGGCAGAAUUCUAAAACACAAGAAAGAUUUUUUUCUGUCUCAUACAUUUUUCUCACAUCUAUAUCAUUUCAACACCAGCCACAUAAGCGAGGUUUAGGAUGUUACUUUUAAACAUCACUACAUAUCAUAUCACGUUUCCUCUCAUGCAACCCUCAUGCAGGCCUGGAUCACCCCCUUGUGGACAAACUUUGUAAAUACCACUUGCUAAGUCUGUACAUAGUUAGGCAAAAUAUUAAGAGAAUUAAAUUGUUGAUGGCAAGAUGCUCUGGAGAUACAGCACUAUAUGCAAUUAGGAGAUGGACUCGUUCUAUUCAACUAGAAUCGGCAGAGACGACAAUCCUGGUCAAGUUAUUGAGUUGUUUCAGGGUGCGCUGAAGAAGACUAUCUGAUAUGGUUGUGACCAUAUGUCAAAUGUUU